ensembl:lncRNA
AAGGAUCACAAAGGUUUAAAAGGUCUUUUCUCCUUAAGGCUGUAUCGUGCAGUGCAAGGGCAGCCAAAUUUAUCUGCAGAGCUGACUGGAGAGGGAGGACGGACAGGUGGAGAAGGUGCUGUGGAGCUGCCUGGAGAGGGAGGACGGACAGGAGGAGAAGGUGCUGUGGAGCUGCCUGGAGAGGGAGGACGGACAGGUGGAGAAGGUGCUGUGGAGCUGACUGGAGAGGGAGGACGGACAGGUGGAGAAGGUGCUGUGGAGCUGACUGGAGAGGGAGGACGGACAGGAGGAGAAGGUGCUGUGGAGCUGACUGGAGAGGGAGGACGGACAGGUGAAGAAGAUGCUGUGGAGCUGACUGGAGAGGGAGGACGGACAGGUGAAGAAGAUGCUGUGGAGCUGACUGGAGAGGGAGGACGGACAGGUGAAGAAGAUGCUGUGGAGCUGACUGGAGAGGGAGGACGGACAGGUGAAGAAGAUGCUGUGGAGCUGACUGGAGAGGGAGGACGGACAGGUGAAGAAGAUGCUGUGGAGCUGACUGGAGAGGGAGGACGGACAGGUGAAGAAGAUGCUGUGGAGCUGACUGGAGAGGGAGGACGGACAGGUGAAGAAGAUGCUGUGGAGCUGACUGGAGAGGGAGGACGGACAGGUGAAGAAGGGGCUGU